GACGAACGCUGGCGGCGUGCUUAACACAUGCAAGUCGAACGGAAAGGCCCUGCUUGCCGGGUACUCGAGUGGCGAACGGGUGAGUAACACGUGGGUGAUCUGCCCUGCACUUCGGGAUAAGCCUGGGAAACUGGGUCUAAUACCGGAUAGGAGCCAUUCUUAGUGUGAUGGUUGGAAAGUUUUUUCGGUGUAGGAUGAGCUCGCGGCCUAUCAGCUUGUUGGUGGGGUAAUGGCCUACCAAGGCGGCGACGGGUAGCCGGCCUGGGAGGGUGGACGGCCACAGUGGGACUGAGAUACGGCCCAGACUCCUGCGGGAGGCAGCAGUGGGGAAUAAUGCACAAUGGGCGCAAGCCUGAUGCAGCGACGCCGCGUGGGGGAUGACGGCCUUCGGGUUGUAAACGCCUUUCGCUAGGGACGAAGCUUGUUGUGACGGUACCUAGAUAAGAAGCACCGGCUAACUACGUG
rnacentral:rRNA from 1 species